ACGGGGCGCAGCAGGCGCGAAAACUUUACAAUGUGCGAAAGCACGAUAAGGGAACUCUGAGUGCCUCCUAAGGAGGCUGUUCAGAUGUCUAAAAAGCAUCUGAAGGAAGGGCUGGGUAAGACUGGUGCCAGCCGCCGCGGUAACACCAGCAGCCCGAGUGGUAGUCACGUUUACUGGGUCUAAAGCGUCCGUAGCCGGCCGGGUAAGUUCCUUGGGAAAUUUGGUCGCUCAACGAUCAAGCUACUUGGGAAUACUACCUGGCUUGGGACCGGGAGAGGUCAGAGGUACCUCAAGGGUAGGGGUGAAAUCCGUUAAUCCUUGGGGGACCACCGGUAGCGAAGGCGUCUGACCAGACCGGAUCCGACGGUGAGGGACGAAGGCUAGGGGAGCGAAUCGGAUUAGAUACCCGAGUAGUCCUAGCUGUAAACGAUGCGGGCUAGGUGUUGGCAUUACUGCGAGUGAUGCCAGUGCCGAAGGGAAGCCGUUAAGCCCGCCAUCUGGGGAGUACGGUCGCAAGGCUGAAACUUAAAGGAAUUGGCGGGGGAGCACCACAACGGGUGGAGCUUGCGGUUCAAUUGGAUUCAACGCCGGAAAUCUCACCGGAGGCGACAGCGAGAUGAAGGUCAGGCUAAAGACCUUACCGGAUUAGCUGAGAGGUGGUGCAUGGCCGUCGGCAGUUCGUGUCAUGAGACAUCCUGUUAAGUCAGGCAACGGGCGAGACCCGUGCCCACAGUUGCCAGCAUCUCCGCAAGGAGGAUGGGCACUCUGUGGGGACCGCCAUCGCUAAGAUGGAGGAAGAAGCGGGCCACGGUAGGUCAGUAUGCCCCGAAUCCUCCGGGCUACACGCGUGCUACAAUGGGUAGUACAAUGGGCAUCGACCCCGAAAGGGGAAGGUAAUCCCCUAAAGCUACCCUCAGUUGGGAUCGAGGGCUGCAACUCGCCCUCGUGAACCUGGAAUCCGUAGUAAUCGCCCCUCAAAAUGGGGCGGUGAAUAUGUCCCUGCUCCUUGCACACACCGCCCGUCAAGCCAGCCGAGUGGGAUUUAGGUGAGGGCAUUCUUCUUGGAGUGUCCGAACCUAAGUCUCGUGAGGGGGGCUAAGUCGUAACAAGGUAGCCGU
rnacentral:rRNA from 1 species